rnacentral:rRNA from 1 species
UACGUAGGGUGCAAGCGUUGUCCGGAAUUAUUGGGCGUAAAGAGCUCGUAGGCGGUUCGUCGCGUCGGCUGUGAAAACCUGAGGCUCAACCUCGGGCCUGCAGUCGAUACGGGCGAGCUAGAGUUCGGCAGGGGAGACUGGAAUUCCUGGUGUAGCGGUGGAAUGCGCAGAUAUCAGGAGGAACACCGGUGGCGAAGGCGGGUCUCUGGGCCGAUGACUGACACUGGAGAAGCGAAAGCGUGGGGAGCGAACAGGA